UGGGAGUGCUCAUCUAACCGACAUACCGUGAUUAUAAAUUGAGUUGGAAGGGUGUUAGCCCUUUGUCGAGGGAUACUAGCAAUGCUGGGUCAACCCUAACCUGGCAGGAUGACUCAUGAGAUGUAUAUAUAUGGUUGCUUCAACCCUAGUCCAGAAGGAGGAUGACUUACGCUACACUGGCUACAUAGUUCUGCAACACAAGGACUUCUACUAAGAGUCAAACCCUCUGCUUGUAGGAAUACCCCCAUCCCUG
rnacentral:lncRNA from 1 species